rnacentral:rRNA from 1 species
UACAGAGGUCUCAAGCGUUGUUCGGAUUCAUUGGGCGUAAAGGGUGCGUAGGCGGCGCGGUAAGUCGGGUGUGAAAGUCGGGGGCUCAACCCUCGAAUGCCGGUGGAUACUGUCGGGCUAGAGUGCGGAAGAGGCGAGUGGAAUUCCUGGUGUAGCGGUGAAAUGCGCAGAUAUCAGGAGGAACACCAAUUGCGAAGGCGGCUCACUGGCCCGGUACUGACGCUGAGGUGCGAAAGCGUGGGGAGCAAACAGG